GAUGAACGCUGGCGGUAUGGCUAAGGCAUGCAAGUCGAGCGCCCUUCGUUCUUCGGAAUAUAAGGGAGCGGCAAACGGGAGAGUAACACAUUGAUAACCUACCUUUUGGACGGGCACAACCAACGGAAACGAUGGCUAAUACCCGAUGGUGAUGGGGGGACAUAAGUCAUUCCCAUCUAAAUGAAUUUCGCCAAAAGAGGGGUCUAUGUCGUAUCAGCUUGUUGGUGAGGUAAUGGCUCACCAAGGCUAU
rnacentral:rRNA from 1 species